rnacentral:rRNA from 1 species
GCGGCGGACGGGUGAGUAACACGUGGGUAACCUGCCCAUAAGACUGGGAUAACUUCGGGAAACCAGGGCUAAUACCGGAUAACAUUUUGAACUGCAUGGUUCGAAAUUGAAAGGCGGCUUCGGCUGUCACUUAUGGAUGGACCCGCGUCGCAUUAGCUAGUUGGUGAGGUAACGGCUCACCAAGGCAACGAUGCGUAGCCGACCUGAGAGGGUGAUCGGCCACACUGGGACUGAGACACGGCCCAGACUCCUACGGGAGGCAGCAGUAGGGAAUCUUCCGCAAUGGACGAAAGUCUGACGGAGCAACGCGCGUGAGUGAUGAAGGCUUUCGGGUCGUAAAACUCUGUUGUUAGGGAAGAACAAGUGCUAGUUGAAUAAGCUGGCACCUUGACGGUACCUAACCAGAAAGCCACGGCUAACUACGUGCCAGCAGCCGCGGUAAUACGUAGGUGGCAAGCGUUAUCCGGAAUUAUUGGGCGUAAAGCGCGCGCAGGUGGUU